AACGUAGGACACAAGCGUUAUCCGGAGUUACUGGGCGUAAAGGGCGUGUAGGCGGCCAGAUAGGUCCGUUGUGAAAACUGGAGGCUUAACCUCCAGCUGUCGAUGGAAACCAUCUGGCUAGAGUCCGGAAGAGGAGAGUGGAAUUCCUGGUGUAGCGGUGAAAUGCGCAGAUAUCAGGAAGAACACCCGUGGCGAAGGCGGCUCUCUGGGACGGUACUGACGCUGAGACGCGAAAGCGUGGGGAGCGAACAGG
rnacentral:rRNA from 1 species